AUACCAUGGUGAGGACAUUGCCUAAGCAGCUCUUUGAAUUGUUCCCAGGCUUCAAAAUUGAUUCUUCAUCUCCUUGCCUAAAUGAGGUGGUUUCAUUUCUCAUAUU